rnacentral:lncRNA from 1 species
AUCUGUUUGGAGAACCACAGGCCAUUGUAAUAGCUAAGAUUUGCUCUCCUACCUCAAGAAUCACUUUUUGCUCCAUUGGAGGCAAUAUACUCCAUUUUUCUAUCAGUCAGUUAGCUUUUCUGAUUUAGGAGUUUUGUUUAAUACUAAUAGAUUUCUUUCUCUUCUAGGCCAUUUCCUCACCUGGCAGAAACUCUCACCCAAAAAAUUUAAAAGGAAGCACCGAACACCACUACCUGCUGCACUGCAUUCCACAUACUCCAGCUCAGCCCCCAUGAUGGUCCACAAAGUAGGCACCACCAUGAUCCUCACUGAGCAGAUGAGGAAACUGAGGUGAGGGAGUAAGUCACCUGCUUGAGGUCACACCACCAAUAAAUGAAAGAGCUGAGACUUGAACCCAGGCUGUCUGAUACCAAAGCCCCAAGUGUGUAACAGCUACAUGCUACCCAGGUGUGAAGAAGUUCCAAUUAUACACCUAAGCAAUGGGCCCCGAGAUGGCUUUAUAGCAAACAGCUGGGCCAAUUUUUGCCCCAGGGGAUAUUUGGCAAUGUCUGGAGACAUUUUUGAUUGUCACAGCUGGGGAGGGGUGGGGGUGCUCCUGGUGUCUAAUCCUGUGCAUCCCUCAAGGCGCAGAACAGCUCCACAGCAGGGUUGCCAGCCCCAAAUGUCAACAGGGCUGAGACUGAGAAACGCUGCAUUACAGGUCUCCCAAUAUUUUUCGUUAAAUCCCUACCUAAAGAAUUUUGAAAAGUGCUACCUUCUUGCACAUUUUUAAGUUGACAUCUUAAACUAUUACAAGUUUAAUAUUUUCAAAGGAUCUAAUUUAUAGCACAUUAUACAUACUGACUAUUUUUUUUUUUUUUUUUGAGUCGGAGGAGCCUCGCUCUGUCACCCAGGCUGGAGUGUAGUGGCACCGUCAGGGCUCGCUGCAGCCUCAACCUCUCGGGCUCAAGCAGUCCCUCCACCUCAGCCUCCUGAGUAGUUGGGACCACAGGUGCGUGCCACCACACCCAGGGAAAUUUUUAUUUUUUAUAGAGACAAGGUCUCGCUAUGUUGCCCAGGCUGGCCUCAAACCCCUGAGCUCAAGCCAUCCUCUCGCCUCAGCUUUGCAAAGUGCUAGGAUUACACAUGUGGCCACUGUGCCUGGCCAUACUGACUUUUUAAAAUAAAUUUGUUACAUCAUUCUUUACCCACAAUAAAAGCACAUGAGCAAGCUUUUCUUUAAGAGUCUAGAGUUUUACAUCUUUCCUUGUCUCUGUAAACCUCUAUUUCCACUUGACUUCCCC